GUCCUCGUAGUUUAAUGGAUAAAACAAGCCCCUCCUAAGGGUUAGAGUGGAGGUUCGAUUCCUCUCGAGGACGCCA
rnacentral:tRNA from 1 species